GUGCCCACUUCGGCAGCACAUACACUAAAAUUGGAACAAUACAGAGAUUAGCGUGGCCCCCCGUGUAAGGAUGCCACGCAAAUUCGUGAAGUGUUCCAUAUUUAA